CUUUGGCUGUGAUGAGAAUCUAUACAGCUUCAAAAAUGCCAGUUCUGCUUCAGAAAAUUCAUGAUAGAGGAAGCUGAUAGAAAGCUGAGCCUUUC